rnacentral:rRNA from 1 species
GUGAACGCUGGCGGUAGGCCUAACCCAUGCAAGUCGCACGGCAGCACAGUAAGAGCUUGCUCUUACGGGUGGCGAGUGGCGGACGGGUGAGGAAUACAUCGGAAUCUACUUUUUCGUGGGGGAUAACGUAGGGAAACUUACGCUAAUACCGCAUACGACCUACGGGUGAAAGCAGGGGAUCUUCGGACCUUGCGCGAUUGAAUGAGCCGAUGUCGGAUUAGCUAGUUGGCGGGGUAAAGGCCCACCAAGGCGACGAUCCGUAGCUGGUCUGAGAGGAUGAUCAGCCACACUGGAACUGAGACACGGUCCAGACUCCUACGGGAGGCAGCAGUGGGGAAUAUUGGACAAUGGGCGCAAGCCUGAUCCAGCCAUACCGCGUGGGUGAAGAAGGCCUUCGGGUUGUAAAGCCCUUUUGUUGGGAAAGAAAAGCAGCAGGUUAAUACCCCGCUGUUCUGACGGUACCCAAAGAAUAAGCACCGGCUAACUUCGUG